UGAAAGGAAUGUGUCCUCUUUAUCUCCUGUCCAAGCAGAGAACCAUGGAGAUAAGGAGAUAAUGAAGAACCUUGAAGAACCAUGCCGCAAGUAUUCAGCUUUGAUUAACUUGAAAAUAGUUGUGCUGUUGAUGCGCACACCGGAUCUCAUAUAUUCAAGGAUUGUCUGAAAAAUGUCUCUUACUGCAAAAAUGCAUGUAUAAUAUUUGGCAUUUACCACCGUGAUGCUCAGAUUCAUACCCCGAAUUCGAUCAAAUAAGAGAUGAUGGAAUCUGGUCUGCUCUCCAAAGAAGAGGCAAAGAAAGUUUACGAGAGAAAACUGAAGAAGAAGAAUCAGCAGAAGCCGAGUACUCCCAGCAAAGCAAUCACUUCUACAAAAAAAGACUUAAUUCUGCAACUGUUAAAAAGAAGAGUGAACCUGCAACUGUUAAGAAAAAGACACCAUCGCCUGUUGUAAAGAAGACAAACUCCAAUGUUGAAACAAAGAAGUCUAAGAACUAAGAAGCGCAGGAUUGCUAAUGAUAGCGAUGAGGAAGAUUCUGAUGAGGAUUUCAUUAUUAAUAGAAGAACAAAGAAACAGAGAGCAUCUUAAGUAAAACAACAUUGUUCGUCUCCUUGAUUCUCUAGUCUCCUGGAAGCUGUGGUAAUUUGGAAGAAGCAAAGAGAUGGAGAGAAAUGAUGAACAAUAUUUGCAUUGUUAAAACUGCUGGAUAGUUUCAUUCAAGCGAGUGGAAAGUUCUUGGCUGGAGAAAUGAGCAAAGGUGAUUCAGCUGCCACACUGUAACAUUUAAUUACAUAUGCUUGGCCUUGAAAUCUUUAGAGAUGAGGAAAUUUAAUUUGUCACGAAUAUCUAAUGUUAAAGUUUUAGCCUUAGUUAUUUUGGGUGUAUUUUUAUUUAUUUGUAGAAUAUUUUUCGUGUAUUAUUAAUGUCUUUUUUGCUAUUUUUA